UCUCCGUAGGUGAACCUGCGGAGGGAUCAUUACCGAGUGAGGGCGCCCCGGCGCCCGACCUCCCAACCCUUUGUGAACCAAACUUGUUGCUUCGGGGGCGACCCUGCCGCUUCGGCGGUGCGGCGCCCCCGGAGGCCAUUAAACACUGCAUCAUUGCGUCGGAGUUAAAGUAAAUUAAACAAAACUUUCAACAACGGAUCUCUUGGUUCCAGCAUCGAUGAAGAACGCAGC
rnacentral:misc_RNA from 1 species